rnacentral:rRNA from 1 species
UACGUAGGGGGCUAGCGUUGUCCGGAAUCAUUGGGCGUAAAGAGCGUGUAGGCGGUCCGGUAAGUCCGUUGUGAAAGUCAGGGGCUCAACCCUUGAAUGCCGGCGGAUACUGUCGGGCUAGAGUCCGGAAGAGGCAAGUGGAAUUCCCGGUGUAGCGGUGAAAUGCGCAGAUAUCGGGAGGAACACCUAUGGCGAAGGCAGCUCGCUGGGACGUGACUGACGCUGAGACGCGAAAGCGUGGGGAGCAAACAGG